AGGGGGCGGUACUCAGUAGUAGUGAAUGCUGGUGUUGAUGCACUGUUGUUGUUGAAGCGCCUAGUAACAAAACCUGACUAUACUGUGUGUGCAUGGAAGGGAUGUUGGUUUGAAAAAGUCUAUUGACACUGAUUCAAAUGCUGAACGUGUAGGCCCUUAUUCUGGGCCGUAAGCACAGUCACACGCUCCUGAAAGCCCCGCCCCUCCUGCUCUGCCCGACGCAGUUGGUUGCUAUGGAUCUGGUUCUGCCGGAGAGGAAGGAUAUGGUAGGCUGAGCUGUGUGUCUGACUGACCUGUGUCUCCAGCUCCAUCAUCCUCUGACGUGUCUCUCUGAGCUCUGCCUGGGCCUCAGCCUCCCGUAGCCUGACACUCAUCAGCUCAUCCUGCAGCUCAGACACAGCAUUCUUCCUAGGGUUGUCCUUCCAGCGGCCCGCCGUACGCGCCAGGUGACGCUGUAGGAGCAGGGGAAGAGGGGGGGGAAGCACACAAUCAACCAAAGAUGUUCGGACUCGACACACCUAAAAUAGCAGUCCUCAACUCAUACACACAUGGAGAUUGAGCAAGAUGACAAAAAUACAUUUAACAUUUACAUCGGGUAUAUUCAUGUUAAUCCUCUUAGUGCUGUGUCUUGGGCAGGAGUACUCAUGGUACAGCUGAGCUAGUCAAGUCAAACAUAUGAAAUUGUAUUUUAAGUUCAUCAGUUUCAAUACACUAUAGACCUACAGAAGGAAAGGUUUAUUGCUCAUCCAUAUAUUUAUAUGAUUCAUUCCAUUUCUUUACUUAGAUGUGUGUGUAGUUGGUACAUGUUGUGAAGUUGUUAGAUAUUGCUGCUCUCGGAACUAGAAGAACAAGCAUUUCGCUACACUCGCAGUAACAUCUGCUACACACGUGUAUGUGACCAAUAAAAUGUUAUCUGUUAAUGUGUUUGAAUCUUCCAUGUGUGUGUAUGGUGUGGAGAAUAUAUGUUCAUCCUCACCUGCCAGUGCUCCUCCAGGUCUCUGACCUGUUGUCUGAGCUCCUUCAGCCCCAUCACAGCCUCAGCCUCUCUCAGCUUCACUGCUAUCAGCUCCUCCUGCAACCGCACCACGUUGGUGUCAUCUGGCAGAGAUGUGUUCCUCUGGGGGACAGGCAACCAAAACAAUGACUGAGAAGACAACUUCAGGAUGCUUAUGUCACGGGACAGUAAAAUAACAGGGAUGUGUUCAGCAGGGCACAACAUUGUGGAAUUUUCAGAUAUAAAUGUUUACGUUAAAAAAAACUAGUCUCUACAUGUAGAAAAGGAAUCAUGUCCAGUCUAGUCAUGACAUUUACAUCUGCAAUAUUCCACAACGUUUGCCUAUUCCAGGCAGAAUGCCUGACAGAGGUGUGGGACUAGGAGGCACCGUGACAGUGUGUGAAUUGAUGAUAGACAGUUUGUGCCAGGUAACACACCUUCUCUAUGUCCAGGAUCUUGUCUUGCAUCUCCUUGAGGGCACACUGGGACUCAGCCUCCUUUAGCCUGGCCUGAACCAGCUCUCUCUCCAGCUGCAGGAUGGACUCCUCUGUGUAGCGCGGGAUGCCCUUCUACACAGGGAGGAAGCAGGAGGAAGGAGAGAGAGCAAGAAGAGAGUAAGGAAGAGAUCUAGAGUCAGAGCUUUAUAUGACUCCGGGAAACCGGCCCAGUGUCCUUAAGAUUCUGGGGGUGCACGACACCCCUGAUCACCACUGUACCAACUGAGCCAUACAGGACCUUCAACUUGGGCACUGUGCUUCUCCUUACCAAUAGGGGUCUCUGCUGGAGAUCCCUGAUGGUGCUCUGUGCUAGCUCCAGCUGAGCUGUGGCCUCUUCGCUCUGCUGCCUGACCGUGGCCAGCUCCCGCAUGACCAGAGGACCUGAGCCCUAUUACCAUGCCUCAGGACUACCUGGCAUGAUGACUCCUUGCUGUCCCCAGUCCACCUGUCUCCAGUUUCAGCUGUUCUGCCUGCGGCUAUGGAAUCCUGACCUGUUCACCUGACGUGCUACCUGUCCCAGACCUGCUGUUUUCAACUCGAGACAGCAGGAGCGGUAGAGAUACUCUUAAUGAUCGGUUAUGAAAAGCCAACUGACAUUUACUCCUGAGGUGCUGACUUGCUGCACCCUCGACAACUACUGUGAUUAUUAUUAUUUGACCAUGCUGGUCAUUUAUGAACAUUUGAACAUCUUGGCCAUGUUCUGUUAUAAUCUCUACCCGGCACAGCCAGAAGAGGACUGGCCACCCCUCAUAGCCUGGUUCCUCUCUAGGUUUCUUCCUAGGUUUUGGCCUUUCUAGAGAGUUUUUCCUAGCCACCGUGCUUCUACACCUGCAUUGCUUGCUGUUUGGGCUUUUAGGCUGGGUUUCUGUACAGAACUUUGAGAUAUCAGCUGAUGUACGAGGGGCUAUAUAAAUACAUUUGAUUUGAUUGACCGAUUCAGAUGUCAUUGACAUGGGUAAUCAGACUUCCCCCUGUGCGACUAGAGACACCAUCAGUUGGCAGUGAGCACUAAGAAGCUACAUUUAGAACAGGGUUCACACUGUAAAAUCAAGACAACAGUAGUAAGGGUCAGUGAGAGACAUAGCUGGCUUUGGGAGGAAAAAAAAAACUGAACUGCGCCUAUAUAGUAUCCAUACCAGGAAACAAAGAGACUGCUGUACUGUACCGAAUGUAUUCACUAACUUCAUUGAUUAAACAUAUUUGUGCAACUUGUAA